GGGAUACCGCCCCGGGACAAUCACGGCCGCCACGUGCGGGAGGCGCCGGCCGGGAGCGGUGGCGGGCCGAGCUUCGGACCUCGGGCCGGCGGAGAGGGUGGACCCCGCGUCGCUCUCGGCACCCCAGGAACAGCGGCGGCACGGACGCCUUGGAGCCCCGCGGCCGGGCCGCGAUGUGCUUUUCUCCUGUGUUCGCUGCCCGGGAUGCGGAAUCUUGAGCCUCGGUGUCGGGUUACAGAGUUGUCCUGGUGACGGGAUGCGGAGCGUUUCCUCCUUUUUGUUGUGGGGGCGGCUGGUGGCAGGGGCAGCUGGUGGCAGGGUUGCCCACGCUAAUCUCCGAGUCUCUAAGGGCACCGUCUUUCCUGGAUCCCUCUUGCGCCUCGUCCAUAAAGGCAGACCCGCGGGCGCGCGCCGGCAACCUGAAAUCAGAGCAGGCGUCCGUGGCGCUCAGGAACCUUGCUGAGCUUCGCCGAUCUUUCAUUGUUGCUUCAUUUGGGUACCAAGGGCCUCUCAUUCUGUGGAUUCUUUGCCUGGAGGAGCCCCCUUAAUGUUGCUAAUCACGUGUGGUUAAAUUGCUCGUAAAUUCCGAACAAAACAAAUAGCGACCUGUGUUACACUGUUUCUUGGUAACUGGGAAAGUUACUGGUGGCUUGAAGUAUACGCAGAAAAUACAAAGAUUAAAAACUAGGGAAGAGUUCACUGAAUGAACACCGUAACAUUUCUGCUCUGCAGGGUAAAAUAAUUUCGGGACCCAGGUCUGGGAAAGAUUUGUAUUAACAAGGUAAACGGUGGGUAGAGUGCCUGAGAAGCUAUUCGUAUCGUCUUUGGUAGCCUCUGGGCACUAGGACUAGACAUGGAAUUAGGGGUCCCCCAACAAUGACUUCAAUUUUAGGUUAAUAGAAACCAUCUGCCACUUAAGGGAAAGAAAGCACCAAAAUGUAGAUAAGUUGAUGUUCACCCUUAAAGUUAUCGUGUGAGGUCAUGAUUUGUAGGAGGAUUAAGGAAUGUAUCUCUGGAAAGGGCAAGAACGUUGCUUUUAAAAGUCUAAUUGGUUCUGAAGUUUUAUAUUUUUUCUGCUGAUUGCUUUAAAAUGUUCAGCUACUAGAGAGAAAAAAAGUACAGUAAAAGAAACCCCCAAGUCAGAGACCUAUCAGACUGAGAAUAUGUAUUUUCUCAUGUUCUAAAGAUACAGAAUACCUGUGUGGUGUAAAAUGUGAACCAAAAAUUGUUUCAUUUUUGUAAGUGUGCCUCCCACCUGAUUUAAUUACACUUAAUUGUUCUUGUUUAUGACUCUGCCUUUUAUGGUGAUGUUGAUCAUUUUAGUCCUUCGAUCAUAGCACUGUAUCAUCUUAAAAGUUAAUAAUAGAUUACUUGUAACACAGGCUCACUAUGUGAGAAUUCAUCAAGCUGUAUGUACAUUUAUUGUGCUCUUCAUUGUAUGUAUAAUUCAAUAAAUUGAAACAGUAAACGAAAAGGUAAUUAUAGAAAAAAUACAGUGAUAACUUGAAGUAUGUUGAAUUUUUAUUAAUUUACUCUGAAGGUUUUAAGAUAUAAUUUCUAGACGUUACUAUCUUAUUGUUAUAGCACAGAGUUGGAAAUAACUACAUUCUUUUCCUAUUCUUUUAUUGUUGGCUUUAAACAGUGAAAGAAUUUGACCAACAAUAUUUUCUAAUUCAAAUCUCAAAAGAUUCUAAAACACAUUUCUUGGGUAAAAUAUUCACAAAAAUUUAGAAUUCUUGUCAUUCUUCUAUAUUUUUCAAAAUAUAAUUCAUUUUAAAUUACUGCUUACUUUUCCAACAUGAUGUUAUUUUUCUAGAAUUGCAAACAGUAAAAUUUAAACAACUAUGAAAAAAAUUCUGUAUAAUAGAUUAAAUUUUACAGUUUCAAUUUUUAGGUUAUAUAUUCAAAGAGAGUCCAUGUGCUGUCUUGGUUUUCAGUACUGUAAUAAAGUAACCUGUGCUUUU